rnacentral:tRNA from 1 species
CAGAACAUAGCUUAAACAAAGCACUUCGCUUACACCGAAGCGCCGUCUGUUAAACCGGACUGUUCUGAG